rnacentral:misc_RNA from 1 species
GUCUUUGUUUCAUUUGAGGAGGUGAGUUUAUCUUUCACAUUUGUGCGAAGGAGUCCCUUUUUUCACAUCAAGCAAAAAGAAGAUCCAGGUUCACAUCUAACAAUUAGUAUUUGAUUAUUGAGGCAAUUCUAAUAGGUGACGAAAUAUUUUUAUGAUUGAACAUGAUGUAGUGUCUUCUAAUUAACUUAAAAAGGGAGUAGUAUCUCUAAAUUCGAAGCUAGCUUAAUAUUCAUGUAUAAUCUUGACACAGCGGAUAUAGGUCUAUAUACCAAAUAAGUAAAAGAAAAAUUGGCUAAAAGUCACUUAGCAGUUCUAUCAGAAGAUACAAUAAUAUAUGGUUUCUUCAUUAUUUAAACAUCCAAAUCAACUGCUGCAGGUAUAUGCUUUGAGUCAUUCAGUGUUAU